rnacentral:tRNA from 1 species
GACGUGUUAAUUCAAUGGAAGAAUAGCGUGCUACGGACAUGUUAAUACAAGUUCGAGUCUUGUACACGUUA